rnacentral:rRNA from 1 species
GACGAACGCUGGCGGCGUGCUUAACACAUGCAAGUCGAACGGAAAGGCCCUGCUUUUGUGGGGUGCUCGAGUGGCGAACGGGUGAGUAACACGUGAGUAACCUGCCCUUGACUUUGGGAUAACUUCAGGAAACUGGGGCUAAUACCGGAUAGGAGCUCCUGCUGCAUGGUGGGGGUUGGAAAGUUUCGGCGGUUGGGGAUGGACUCGCGGCUUAUCAGCUUGUUGGUGGGGUAGUGGCUUACCAAGGCUUUGACGGGUAGCCGGCCUGAGAGGGUGACCGGCCACAUUGGGACUGAGAUACGGCCCAGACUCCUACGGGAGGCAGCAGUGGGGAAUAUUGCACAAUGGGCGGAAGCCUGAUGCAGCAACGCCGCGUGCGGGAUGACGGCCUUCGGGUUGUAAACCGCUUUCGCCUGUGACGAAGCGUGAGUGACGGUAAUGGGUAAAGAAGCACCGGCUAACUACGUGCCAGCAGCCGCGGUGAUACGUAGGGUGCGAGCGUUGUCCGGAUUUAUUGGGCGUAAAGGGCUCGUAGGUGGUUGAUCGCGUCGGAAGUGUAAUCUUGGGGCUUAACCCUGAGCGUGCUUUCGAUACGGGUUGACUUGAGGAAGGUAGGGGGGAAUGGAAUUCCUGGUGGAGCGGUGGAAUGCGCAGAUAUCAGGAGGAACACCAGUGGCGAAGGCGGUUCUCUGGGCCUUUCCUGACGCUGAGGAGCGAAAGCGUGGGGAGCGAACAGGCUUAGAUACCCUGGUAGUCCACGCUGUAAACGGUGGGUACUAGGUGUGGGGUCCAUUCCACGGGUUCCGUGCCGUAGCUAACGCUUUAAGUACCCCGCCUGGGGAGUACGGCCGCAAGGCUAAAACUCAAAGGAAUUGACGGGGCCCCGCACAAGCGGCGGAGCAUGCGGAUUAAUUCGAUGCAACGCGUAGAACCUUACCUGGGUUUGACAUGGAUCGGGAGUGCUCAGAGAUGGGUGUGCCUCUUUUGGGGUCGGUUCACAGGUGGUGCAUGGCUGUCGUCAGCUCGUGUCGUGAGAUGUUGGGUUAAGUCCCGCAACGAGCGCAACCCUUGUUCACUGUUGCCAGCACGUUAUGGUGGGGACUCAGUGGAGACCGCCGGGGUCAACUCGGAGGAAGGUGGGGAUGACGUCAAGUCAUCAUGCCCCUUAUGUCCAGGGCUUCACGCAUGCUACAAUGGCUGGUACAGAGAGUGGCGAGCCUGUGAGGGUGAGCGAAUCCCGGAAAGCCGGUCUCAGUUCGGAUUGGGGUCUGCAACUCGACCUCAUGAAGUCGGAGUCGCUAGUAAUCGCAGAUCAGCAACGCUGCGGUGAAUACGUUCCCGGGGCU